rnacentral:lncRNA from 1 species
UGGAUAGAAAUCUAGAGGACAAAGACAUGGCGCAAAUUCUUCAAAUCAGAAGUUCAAUCAAAAACAUAUUGGAAAAAGCUUCCCCAGCCCGGAAUGCUAAUCUGAGGAUAGUCUAUAACUUGAAAUCAGAUUUGAAUGGUAUUCCCUUUCUAGGAUUUUGUCAGCAUGUUUCUUGGGUUGGUAAGAACUUCUACUAUACUCUGUAAAAGUUAACCCCUCUGUUCAAGGUAUUGGAGGGAACAACUGUAGAAGCUCUUACCUG